UUCAUCUUGGCCAUAGAAAAAGCUCGCGCGCGUGCUGACUCCUUGGCACCGUCAAGCCGUCCACCACCACCACGCACAACCUUCUUCAAUCCUCGCGGCCAUGAGCUUCGACCCCCUCCCCCUUCCCCACCCAGUGAAUGGCGAUGUUACAUACACGCCGCUUUUUUGCUGGAACCAGCUACACAGAGAGCUACAACCAGCACCGCGGGGGAGCUGGAACCAGCCGUUCCAGAGCAGCGACGGCACAUGCCGUUUGCUGGAACCGGCAUUUCGGGGAGCUGCAACCAGCUUUGCGGAUAGCUGCAACCUGCAAGACUGCUAGCACCGGUGUGGCCGCCAUUUUUUGGGAGUGAUUGUUUUUGCUACAACUAGUCCAAAUUUUGUUACCACCAUCUUCGAUUUAUGCUAUCACCGUCUUUGAUUUUUGCUACCACCCUAUUUUUUCUAUUUUUUUGCUGGAUGUAUCUGGAACCACUUCAAUUUAUUUUGUUACCACUGCCUUUGAUUUGUGCUACCACCGUCUUCAUUUUUUGCUACCACCGUAUUUGAUUUUUUGCCAGAUCCAUCUUUUUUCAUGGAACCACUCCAAAUUUGCUACUGCCAUCUUUUUGUUUUGCUACCACUGUAUUUGAUUUUUGCUACCAUCCCCUUCUGAUUUUUUACUGGAACCAGAGAAUUUAUUUUGUUAUAACCAGCAAAUUUCUGUUGCUACCACAUCGUGUGCAAACGCUACAACGAUUAAUUCCAGCGGAAAAGCUGCAAACUGGAGGCCAAUUUUUUGCUGGACCCUACAAAUUGCUGCAUUGGGGGUGGCCCAGUGAGCACCGGUGCUACAACCGGCAAGCGGCUCCGGCGUGCGCUCCGACGAGCAACUCCGACGUGCACUCCAUCGAGCGGAUCCGGCGAGCAUGAGGACGAGCGGCUCUGGUGAGCUGCUAGCGAGGGCGGUCAGAGGUCAUGGAGUUGUACAUGAGCGAGGGUUUUUUUUUCUUUUUUUUAUCCGGAUCUGACGGUUACAUAUGGCUGUAUCCAACGCUGGGGCGUUGACCGGCCGAAAAUUUCGGCCGGCGCGCCGGCGCCUAGUAGUCGCCUAGGCCAAAGCUCCACCAGCAAUCAGCGCGCCAGAAACAACAGCGAGAGUCCUCCUGGUUCCACACGAGAGACAGUGAGGAGGCAAACACUGCAUUCCACGACGCAAUUGGAAAGAAUAGCAAGAAAAAAAAUAAGGGAGCAAACCUCUUGGAAGCCAGAAGCACCUGUCCGCGGUCCGUCAACUGCAGCAGCUGCAGAGACGGCAUGUCGCCGCCGCGAGAUGACCACCCCGAGAUCUCACGUACGGCAACAGCGCGGAAUCAGGGCGUCCCCCCCUCGACACGGAGCAUCGCUGCAACCGAAUUAGACACAAGAAAAAUGAGUAAAUUGCUCAAAACCACCACAUUUGUGGCUAGGGUACUUCAAAACCACCAUUUUUGUCAAAAAUCACAAAAAACCACCACUUCUGCGCCUAGUGAAUAACAAAUCGCACUGAAUCAGAUGUUAGUCGUGACUAACAACAAAACUGAAGAGCGGGACCCGUUCGUCAGGCUGAUGUGGAUAAAACUAGUCCUAGUCAAUGUGUUGACCCGCUGAGGUGGACACAGGGCCCAACCUGUCAGCCACAUGUCUUAUUUCCCCAUUCUCUUCUUCAUCCUCAGGCCACCACGCCACCAUGUCGACCGCUACCACCGUGCCAUGCACCUGCCCGCAACCAUCUUCGCUAGCCUCGCCGGCUCCGACCGCCUCACUUGACACAACGGCGACGCCCUACGAGCUUCCCUCGUCACUAGCCGCCGGAUCUAGGCACCGGCCACCGGAUCCACC
rnacentral:lncRNA from 1 species